rnacentral:rRNA from 1 species
UAAACCUGCCUCUUAGCGGGGGAUAACUAUUGGAAACGAUAGCUAAUACCGCAUAAAAGUACGACAUUGCAUGAUGUUGACUUGAAAGGUGCAACUGCAUCACUAAGAGAUGGACCUGCGUUGUAUUAGCUAGUUGGUGAGGUAACGGCUCACCAAGGCGACGAUACAUAGCCGACCUGAGAGGGUGAUCGGCCACACUGGGACUGAGACACGGCCCAG